rnacentral:lncRNA from 1 species
UUUUUGUUUUUUUUUGUUUUUGUUUUUUGUUUUUUUAACAAAACAAACUAGUGAAGCACCUUUUUACACUGGAUCUCUGCCGUGUCAAGGUGUAUAGCUAUCCUUUGCUACCUUGCAGAUAUAUAAAAUAAAAGGAUAUCCUGGGGCCUCAAUGUAGAACACCUUUAGACCAUUUAUUACUGCUCAUAGAACUGUUGGGAAUCGUGUUUCUCUAGUAAAUGAUCUGUGGUUUACACUUAAGACGGCUAGAAGCUUAGUUACAGGGUAAAUAGAAAUACAUAGAUCAAGCAAAACUCCCAACUACUGUAGCUGGAAUUUGUAAACUAAGUUUUUAAGACCUCUUUUAUUUGCUAUGGAGUUAUUCUUUAAUUUACAGUUCCUUCUGUAAGUUGGGAAGUAAAAUAGAAAAAAUAAUAAAUUUAGAUGUUCUCAGUGUCUUAUUCAGGAACUUUUUUACCCCUCCUCACUAAGGAAUUCCCACUGUGACUUAAAAAUAGAAUUAAAUUACUUGUGUGCUUGUCUCCGUCUGUGUUUUUACACACAUGCAAAAAUAUACAUUGGGGGCACGUGUGUGAGAGAGAUGAAUGUGUGCUUAGGUUAAAAAUAGAAGAAGGUAACAAUGUAUUGUAGAAAUACGGUUUAUUUAGAUGAGGCUAUCAAGAGUUAUUUUCUCAUCGUCUCUGUAGUAUAAAUACACCAAAUUCUUCAUUAUGCUAUUUUAUGUUAAAAGGCUAGCUCUGAUAUCAUGUGCAUUUUAUUUUAACCUUUUGAUUAACUUAUGCUAUGUUUUUAAAAUGACAUGAGAAACAGGUUCAAAGACCAGCCUCUCACUUUUGAGCAUAAAAAUAUGAGAGAGAGAGAGAGAGACAAACCAGACAUAGAGAGACAAACCAGACAUGAGCUGUGUUUAUCUGCUGGGGUGAUGGGACCAGAUCAGUUGAAACAACUUUUUUUAUGUUAAUAAUAUAUUUCUUUGUAUUCUGAGUUAGAAAAUCUUAUUGAUCAUCUUUUCUUGGUGAAGUUAAGAAAAUUAUAAGCUUUUAAUAAAGAAUGCCAUUUUUUGAAGGGACUGCUUUGUUGAAAGAGUUGGUGGGAUCAUUUCACCAUGUAUACUUCAAAGCUGGGAUGAUUUCAGUUAUUUCCAAAAAUUAAAAAAAAAAUUACUCCGUUGUGCUAUUUAUGAAGUUAGCGUGCCCCCGACCCCCGUAUUUUGGUUAUAGGAAAAAUUAUGCUACCCUUGACUUUUACCUGAUUCAUAUGGAAUUAAAAAAGAUACAUUCCUAUAUUUUAAGUUUUGUCAUUUUGCUAUACUACACAUUCAGUACUGGAGUAUCUGGUGGUCUAACAUAGCCAAAACUAGAGUUGUUAUUAAAUGCUCCAAUCACAUUUAAUUUUACUAUAAAAAAAAAUCAUGUACUUUGAUAUAUGUCAAAACAACUUCUGAUAACACACCAGAAUUUGUAGUUCUCUUUGAAGCCUCAUUCAUCUUAGGUAUAGUCAAGACCUAGGAAAGCUUUACAUGUCGUUCCUUUUAUAGUUGUAUUUCUGCAUCUCCCAGUUUCAUUCACUCUUGCUUUAUGGAUUUUUUAAAAAUCUGCAUAUUUCUUGUACAUAUGCAUGCAAAUGAAAGAAGGGAGUUUGUAUUGGUGCCAUUUCUCCCUUCAGUUACUCUGGUUAAUGGGAUUUGCUAGAAUAAACUCCCCCUGAUUGAAGGGUGAAAAUAAACCCUUUUGUGUAUAUCUGUACAGAGAUGUGUAUAUGGGAUGUGGUGGCACUUUGCUGAAUGUGAACUUGCCUUGUCAAUGGAAAGAUUGAAAAGUAUUAUGUUUAUUUAUACAUUUGUAUAAAUCUAUAUAUACACGUAUGUAUAUGUGUGUGUAUAGAUAAAGCUAUAUACAUAUAUUUCCCUAAAAAAUGUGUGUGUGUAAUAGAUAAACAGCCUUUGUUAAAGCAAGAUUAUACGUCGAUGGAAAACUCGAUGAUUCUGUAAGCAAGAGGAGGUGACAGCCUAGAGCACACCAUCGGUGCAUACGAAGAUGGGAGUCCUUUGGAUUAUAGUCUUGUUUAUGGUUAUUAUAAUUGAAUUCCUGCUAGAACUCUUACCAGUUCCAUUGUUCUUCAUCUUCACUGCCUUCUAAAUCAAUCUCAUCACACUUCAUUGUAUUUCCCCCCCUUUAUUAUGUCCUUCCUAGCCGAAAGCAUUUGGCUUAAGCAUAAUUCAUUAACUUCUCAGUCAUUUCUUUUAAAGAUCUUUAUCUCUGAAAUUUUCCUGAAGAUGUAGAUUUUGGUAAUAGUUUGUCUAGUAAUUUUGAGGAUUGGGUAUUCAUCUUCAUCUCAAAAAUAAACAGAAAACCAACAUUCAAACAAGGCUAAUCUGAAAGUUACCUAGAUCAUUUGGAGACAUUUUACUCACGUUGGAAAAGAGCAUAAUUAUAAUCUUAUUGGUAACAGCGUUAGGUUUAUUUCCCCAUUUACUGUCUUCAAUCUGUCAUUUAAAAAUGUGGUUUACUUUGUGUCUUAAUCAUAAACUUACCAUUUUCAUUUUAAUGGAAAGCAUACAAAGUCACAUAAACCUCUUGAAUUCUACAACUAACUCAUUUUGCUCAUAAAACUGCUUUAACAAAUUCUUAAGUAAUGAAUUUUGCUGUAUUUCCUUUUGACUUUUUCCACAUUUGUGACAUUCUGUUUUAACUUUGCUGCAGCUCUCUAGAAAACUUGCAUCCCUAUAUAUUGUGCCUUUAAAGCUCUUAUGCACACACAGACAAAAGUGUAUAUAUACAUGUCAGAGCAUGUGUACAUAUACUUUCGUAUAUACUCACACAGUAUGUCUCAUAUUGUGGGAGUGAAUAUAUAGAUAUUCAAAGGCAAUGAAAUGUUGCUUUCUAGAUAUAUAUGUAUAUAAAUAGUGUUGAUAUACUGUAUAUACACAUGUAUAUGUAUGAGUUUUAAAUGGCAAUCUUUUACAUUUAGCAAAAUGCUGCCCCUACUGGAAUAUUGUCACUGCAGUGGCAGUUGUAUGUAAUGAUUUAAAAUACAUUAUCGAAAAUUAUUUAAAGAACAUUUAAAAGUCUCAUCUAAAGACAUCCACACAUUAUUUAUUUAUCUUUUCCUUUUUAUUGUUACUUUUUUUUUUUAACUGAAAGGGAGACUCUCAUUUUUUAAAAUGCCACCUGUCCUAUGGGAGAAAGAGAGAGAGAGAGAGCCGGGGAUUCACUUGGGAACCUCGUGCAUUUUCCCUCUCUCUGAAAUGGAGAUGUACCACAAACCAGCCUGUUUGUUUCAGUUAUAAAGCAAUCCUAACAUUUCCAUUAGCGUAUGUCCUCCACCAUCUUCCAGAUCAACUUAAUUCACCAAUCUGCCUCUUCCUUUCAUUAAUAAAUAAUGAUCAUUGAGAUCAUUUUGCCUGGGGGAAGUUAACUACUCUAGCUGCAGGGAAAUCUAUCACCUAACUGUUAUGCUGCCUUGUUCAAAAUUCAACUUUGAGGGGAGGCAGCUCUCAUGAAGCUGUCUUAAGCAUGUUUUGCAUAUAUUUAGUUAAAGGUCUUCCCAGACGCUUUUUUCUUGUUAAAGAGCUCGGAGUCUGCAUGCACCUGCCGUAGAUUCAAUCCCUAUUCCCCACCGCUUCAGGUGUUUUCAUUAAUAUAUCAGUUUGACGCACUGAACGACAGACUAGGAAGAAAAAAAAACAUUAAAUCUUUAAUUUUGCGAUGAGUUGGCAACCGAUUACAUUUCAAGACCUUCCAGAAAAAAAAAAAA